AAAAAGUUUCUUAACUUGAAAAGAAAUUACUAUUAAAUUGAAUUUACAUGUGUAUGUUAGUAUGAAGAACAUUAUAAGUUUAAUAUAAAUUAUAAAAUAUUCAAAUUGCAGUAAUUUGUUUUGUUCAUUAAAUGAUUUUUGAAACAAUAAUUUUUUUAUAGUUUUGACAAAUUAAGUGCCAGCAGUCUCGGUUGGACCUGGAAAGCAAGUAAUUAUUAUUGGUUUAUUAUUGAUAUUAAUAUUUUUGGGAUGGGUAAAGUUAAAUAUAAGGUGAAAUUUUUAAUUGUAGAGAUAACUUCUUUUUAAUAAAUAUUAAGUUUUUAUUUAAACUAGGAUUAGAUACCCUAUUAUUUUGAAUCUAAUUAUUAUAACUAUAUUAGUAGUUGUUAUGUUCUUUAAAAUAAAAAGAGUUGGCGGUUAUUUAUCUGUCUAGAGGAAUCUGUUUUUUAAACGAUAGUCCACGAUUUAUUUUACUUUAAUAAUUUGGUUUGUAUACCUCUGUCAAUUAAUGUUUUUUAAGAAUAUUUUUAUUUUAAUUUAUUGGUUAAGAAAUUAGGUCUAGGUGCAGUUUAUAUUAAAGUAAGAAUGGGUUACAUUUUUUGUAAUAAAUAGAUUAUUAGUAUAGAUAUUAAUAUAAAACUGGAUUUAGGAGUAAUAUUUAUGAUUUUAUAAUUUUGAAUUAGUUCUAGAUAAUGUACAUAUCGCCCGUCAUUCUCAUUAUUAAUGGGACAAGUCGUAACAUAGUAAUUGUACUGGAAAGUGUAGUUGGGGAUUAGA
rnacentral:ncRNA from 1 species